AUUGAACGCUGGCGGCAGGCCUAACACAUGCAAGUCGAGCGGAUGAGAGGAGCUUGCUUCUCGAUUCAGCGGCGGACGGGUGAGUAAUGCCCAGGAAUCUGCCUGGUAGUGGGGGACAACGUUUCGAAAGGAAUGCUAAUACCACAUACGUCCUACGGGAGAAAGCAGGGGACCUUCGGGCCUUGCGCUAUAAGAUGAGCCUAGGUCGGAUUAGCUAGUUGGUGAGGUAAUGGCUCACCAAGGCGACGAUCCGUAACUGGUCUGAGAGGAUGAUCAGUCACACUGGAACUGAGACACGGUCCAGACUCCUACGGGAGGCAGCAGUGGGGAAUAUUGGACAAUGGGCGAAAGCCUGAUCCAGCCAUGCCGCGUGUGUGAAGAAGGUCUUCGGAUUGUAAAGCACUUUAAGUUGGGAGGAAGGGUUGUAGAUUAAUACUCUGCAAUUUUGACGUUACCGACAGAAUAAGCACCGGCUAACUCUGUGCCAGCCGCCGCCGUAAGAC
rnacentral:rRNA from 1 species